UACGGGGGGGGGCAAGCGUUGUUCGGAAUUAGCUGGGCGUAAAGGCUCGUAGGGUGGCCAACUAAGUCAGACGUGAAAUCCCCUCAGCUUAACUGGGGGACUGCGUCUGAUACUGGAUGGCUUGAGUUUGGGGAGAGGGAUGCGGGAAUUCCAGGUGUAGCGGUGAAAAUGCGUAGAUAUCUGGAGGAACACCGGUGGCGAAGGCGGC
rnacentral:rRNA from 1 species